rnacentral:rRNA from 1 species
AUAACGGUCCUAAGGUAGCGAAAUUCCUUGUCGGGUAAGUUCCGACCUGCAUGAAAGGCGUAACGACUGCCGCGCUGUCUCGGCCAGAGACUCAGCGAAAUUGUGGUUCUGGUGAAGACGCCAGAUACCCGCUGCGGGACGGAAAGACCCCGUGCACCUUUACUACAACCUGGCACUGAACUUUGGUGCUGCAUGCGUAGGAUAGGUGGGAGCCUGUGAAGCUCCGCUUUCGGGCGGAGUGGAGGCGCCGGUGAAAUACCACCCUUGCAACACUAGAGUUCUAACUGAGGUCCGUUAUCCGGAUCCAGGACACUGCUAGGCGGGUAGUUUGACUGGGGCGGUCGCCUCCUAAAGAGUAACGGAGGCGUGCAAAGGUUCCCUCAGCCUGGUUGGAAAUCAGGCGUAGAGUGCAAAGGCAUAAGGGAGCUUGACUGCGAGACCGACAGGUCGAGCAGGUGCGAAAGCAGGCCUUAGUGACCCGGUGGCUCCACGUGGGAGGGCCAUCGAUCAUCGGAUAAAAGGUACGCCGGGGAUAACNNNNNNNNNNUGGGAGGGCCAUCGAUCAUCGGAUAAAAGGUACGCCGGGGAUAACAGACUGAUCCCGCCCAAGAGUCCACAUCGACGGCGGGGUUUGGCACCUCGAUGUCGGCUCAUCGCAUCCUGGGGCUGGAGAAGGUCCCAAGGGUUGGGCUGUUCGCCCAUUAAAGCGGUACGCGAGCUGGGUUUAGAACGUCGUGAGACAGUUCGGUCCCUAUCUGCAGCGGGCGCAGGAGACUUGAGGGGGUCUGCUCAUAGUACGAGAGGACCUGAGUGGACAAGCCUCUGGUGUACCAGUUGUCGCGCCAGCGGCAGUGCUGGGUAGCCAUGCUUGGAAGGGAUAACCGCUGAAGGCAUCUAAGCGGGAAGCCUGCCCCAAGAUUAGGUCUCCCGAACCGUUAAGGUUCCUGAAGGUCCCUCGAAGACUACGAGGUUGAUAGGCCCAAGGUGUAAGCUCCGUAAGGGGUUGAGCUGAUGGGUACUAAUCGACCGUGAGGCUUAACUGC